UUUUCAGAGAGAGAAAACUAUGUCUACUUGGCUAGUGGACUAGGCUGUCAGAAACAACUGAGAUAUGUGUUGCCAUUGUAUCUGAAGGAUUAUUUGUUGGUGAUUCUGACAUGUGUUCUUUGCUCUAAGGAAAUGGCCCCAGCCCAGUCAGGUCCCCAGGAGGUUUUCCUACAAGUCUUGAAUCUGGCAGAUGAUGAGGUGAAGGUGACAGUGGUGGGAAAUGAAAACAAUUCUCUGUUAAUAGAGUCCAUCAAAUCCUUUCAGAAAACACCACACUAUUCCAAACUGCACCUGAAAACAAAAAGCCAGGAUUUUCACUUCCACCUGAAAUAUCACAAUUUGUCUCUCUACACUGAGCAUUCUGUGCAGGAGAAGAACUGGUACAGUCUUGUCAUUCGUGAAGAUGGGAACAGUAUCUCCAGCAUGAUGGUAAAGGAUACAGAAAGCAAAACAACCAAUGGGAUGACAACCGUGAGGUUUGUUAACACUUUGCAUAAAGAUGUCAACAUCUCCCUGAGUACAGAUACCUCUCUCAAUGUUGGUGAAGACUAUGGUGUGUCUGCUUAUAGAACUGUGCAAAGAGGAG
rnacentral:sRNA from 1 species